GAUGAGCUCGCGGCCCAUUAGCUGGUCGGUGAGGUAACGGCUCACCGAGGCGAAGACGGGUAGCUGGUCUGAGAGGAUGGUCAGCCACACUGGGACUGAGACACUGCCCAGACUCCUACGGGAGGCUGCAGUCGAGAAUCUUCCGCAAUGGGCGCAAGCCUGACGGAGCGAUGCCGCGUGAGGGAUGACGGCCUUCGGGUUGUAAACCUCUGUCAGAGGGGACGAAGCAUGUGACGGUACCCUCAGAGGAAGCCACGGCUAACUACGUGCCAGCAGCCGCGGUAACACGUAGGUGGCGAGCGUUAUUCGGAUUUACUGGGCGUAAAGGGUCCGCAGGGGGUCUGUCAAGUCUGAUGUGAAACUCCGCAGCUCAACUGCGGACGUGCAUUGGAAACUGGCGGACUCGAGUACACGAUGGGAGAACGGAAUUCCUGGUGUAGCGGUGGAAUGCGUAGAUAUCAGGAAGAACACCGGCGGUGAAGGCGGUUCUCUGGCGUGUCACUGACCCUCAAGGACGAAAGCGUGGGUAGCGAACAGGAUUAGAUACCCUGGUAGUCCACGCCGUAAACGUUGUGCACUAGAUGUGGGGAGUACCUUAGGUCCUUUCCGUGUCCAAGUUAACGCGAUAAGUGCACCGCCUGGGGACUACGGCCGCAAGGCUAAAACUCAAAGGAAUUGACGGGGGCCCGCACAAGCGGUGGAGCAUGUGGCUUAAUUCGAGGCAACGCGAAGAACCUUACCCGGAUUUGACAUAUGUCUGCUCGUCCGUGAAAGCGGAUUUUCUCUUCGGAGACGGACAUACAGGUGCUGCAUGGCUGUCGUCAGCUCGUGCCGUGAGGUGUUCGGUUAAGUCCGGCAACGAGCGCAACCCGUGUCGUCAGUUGCCAUCAGGUAAUGCUGGGCACUCUGACGAGACUGCCCGUGUCAAGCGGGAGGAAGGCGCGGACGACGUCAAGUCCGUAUGGCCCUUACAUCCGGGGCUGCACACGUGCUACAAUGGGCGGUACAGUGGGAAGCCACGUCGCGAGGCGCAGCGAAUCCCCAAAGCCGUCCUCAGUUCGGAUUGGAGUCUGCA
rnacentral:rRNA from 1 species